CUCCGGUUGAUCCCGCGGGACCCGACUGCUAUCAGAGUGGGACUAAGCCAUGCGAGUCAACAUAGCAAUAUGUGGCAUACGGCUCAGUAACACGUAGUCAACAUGCCCAGGGGACGUGGAUAACCUCGGGAAACUGAGGAUAAACCGCGAUAGGUCAUCACUUCUGGAAUGGGUAAUGACUUAAAUCUAUAUGGCCCCUGGAUUGGACUGCGGCCGAUCAGGCUGUUGGUGAGGUAAUGGCCCACCAAACCUGUAACCGGUACGGGCUCUGAGAGGAGGAGCCCGGAGAUGGGCACUGAGACAAGGGCCCAGGCCCUAUGGGGCGCAGCAGGCGCGAAACCUCUGCAAUAGGCGAAAGCUUGACAGGGUUACUCUGAGUGAUUUCCGUUAAGGAGAUCUUUUGGCACCUCUAAAAAUGGUGCAGAAUAAGGGGUGGGCAAGUCUGGUGUCAGCCGCCGCGGUAAUACCAGCACCCCGAGUGGUCGGGACGUUUAUUGGGCCUAAAGCAUCCGUAGCCGGUUCUACAAGUCUUCCGUUAAAUCCACCUGCUUAACAGAUGGGCUGCGGAAGAUACUAUAGAGCUAGGAGGCGGGAGAGGCAAGCGGUACUCGAUGGGUAGGGGUAAAAUCCGUUGAUCCAUUGAAGACCACCAGUGGCGAAGGCGGCUUGCCAGAACGCGCUCGACGGUGAGGGAUGAAAGCUGGGGGAGCAAACCGGAUUAGAUACCCGGGUAGUCCCAGCUGUAAACGAUGCAGACUCGGUGAUGAGUUGGCUUAUUGCUAACUCAGUGCCGCAGGGAAGCCGUUAAGUUUGCCGCCUGGGGAGUACGGUCGCAAGACUGAAACUUAAAGGAAUUGGCGGGGGAGCA
rnacentral:rRNA from 1 species